ACUGGAGUGCGUGCGCGGUCUGAACGGAAGAGCUUUUAGCUUUCUUCCACGCUCAUUUUUACUCCAAAUAGAAAACCAAAAAUUCCAUUAAAAUUUCACUCCAUCAGUCCUUUCCUUUCCCUCUCUUUCUUCUUCGUUCUUCCCAUUCAAAAAGGCUUCCCCCCGCCAUACCCAGAUUCUUGUUUACAACAUCUUUUCUUCUUCUGCUUAGCCCUAAUUUCCUUGGGAAUAUGCCGAGAGAGAUCAUCACUCUUCAAGUUGGACAAUGUGGGAACCAGAUCGGAAUGGAGUUCUGGAAGCAGCUUUGCCUCGAGCAUGGAAUCAGCAAAGACGGUAUUCUUGAAGAUUUUGCUACUCAGGGAGGUGACCGGAAAGAUGUAUUCUUCUAUCAAGCCGAUGAUCAGCACUACAUACCAAGAGCUUUACUUAUUGACCUGGAGCCAAGGGUCAUUAAUGGUAUCCAGAACAGUGAAUAUCGAAAUCUCUACAACCACGAGAACAUCUUUGUUUCAGAUCAUGGAGGUGGUGCUGGAAAUAACUGGGCCAGUGGAUAUCAUCAGGGAAAGGGUGUUGAAGAGGAUAUCAUGGACAUGAUCGACAGAGAAGCAGAUGGAAGCGAUAGCCUCGAGGGUUUUGUUCUAUGCCACUCAAUUGCCGGAGGGACAGGAUCAGGCAUGGGUUCAUAUCUUCUGGAGACUCUGAAUGAUCGCUACAGCAAAAAACUGGUUCAGACGUACAGUGUUUUUCCUAAUCAGAUGGAAACAAGUGAUGUUGUAGUCCAGCCUUACAACUCUCUUUUGACUUUAAAGCGACUAACACUCAAUGCUGAUUGUGUUGUUGUUCUUGAUAAUACUGCCCUAAAUAGAAUAGCUGUAGAACGCCUUCAUCUAUCAAAUCCAACCUUUGCACAAACAAACUCCUUAGUGUCAACUGUAAUGUCAGCUAGCACAACCACUUUGAGAUACCCAGGAUAUAUGAACAAUGACUUGGUUGGACUCUUGGCCUCUCUAAUUCCAACACCAAGAUGCCAUUUUCUAAUGACAGGAUACACACCACUCACGGUUGAGCGCCAGGCUAAUGUGAUAAGGAAAACCACUGUUCUUGAUGUCAUGAGAAGACUUCUCCAGACAAAAAAUAUUAUGGUCUCCUCGUAUGCUCGAACAAAAGAAGCUAGUCAAGCGAAAUACAUAUCAAUAUUGAAUAUCAUACAGGGAGAAGUGGACCCUACACAGGUUCAUGAAAGUUUGCAGAGAAUACGUGAGAGAAAGCUGGUGAAUUUUAUUGAGUGGGGGCCUGCCAGCAUUCAGGUUGCACUCUCACGGAAAUCACCAUAUGUUCAAACUGCCCAUAGGGUCAGUGGUCUUAUGUUAGCUAGCCAUACCAGUAUCCGGCAUCUUUUCAGCAAGUGUUUGAGCCAGUAUGAGAAGUUGAGAAAGAAGCAAGCUUUUCUUGACAACUAUCGGAAGUUCCCAAUGUUUGCUGACAAUGACCUCUCUGAGUUUGAUGAAUCAAGAGAUAUAAUCGAAAGUUUGGUUGAUGAAUACAAGGCUUGUGAGUCGCCAGAUUAUAUCAAAUGGGGAAUGGAGGAUCCCGACCAGAUUCUUACAGGAGAGGGAAAUGCAUCGGGGACAGCAGACCCAAGUUUGGCCGUCUGACAAGGCAAAUAAGGUGAAAUGGAAUUUAUUUUUGGUGGCGACGGAGGAUGCUUUAACUUACAAUUUCGUACCAUGUGUUUUUUACCCUAGUGGUCUGAUAUGAUUAUUGGCAUCCUACGACCUAAGUAUGGCAUUGACUGCAAAAUAUCUUUCAAAAUACGUGCAAAUGUGUAAGGUGACAAAUUGCCAGCUGGUCUUCUAGAACUUACAUGUCAUGUUAAUGGAGGUUGUACCCCGUGUGAUUUUGUCUUUUAUUUUUAUUGAGUAAAUAUAAAAUCUGAAAAUACAGAUGCUCUCUGUAUUGGCUUGUUAACGUAGGGGUCAUACUCCCACCAUUCUAAUCCAUACACAAUCUAUUUAGGUCUUCCAUUUGCGUCAAUGAGGUGUCUUUUAUUUUUUAUGUUUUGGGACCGUUUGUGUGAUGAAGAGUGAGGCUUGUGGCAUUGGCAUCAUAGUUGAGAACAGCAUUGUUCAUCCUACCAUCCCCAUGUGAUCACUGGCUUUCUCUUCCAACCUAAAACAUUCAUUUUACAGUGAGUGCGAGGGUUGGCUGGAGGAAGACCGGUCUACUUCCAUGAUUGAAACAUUUACUGAUUUUGAUGUACCAUUAUUUUCAAAUUGCAUACAUAUACCGUCGUUGAAUGAAUAGGAUGGUGGCAGUAUCUCUUAGUUGUUUUUUAGAUUUAUGAUUGUUAGUGGGGUUUGCAAAGAGUGUUUGUUUGAACCUCAUUACUGAUUAGUAAUGGCAGAAUGAUUUUAGUUAA